rnacentral:lncRNA from 1 species
CUAUCCAGAUAUCAGGAAUCAUUGCUAGAUGGUAAUUUUGAUUAGUGCAGAAAAUAGUUUUCUAUGCUAUCAGCUUAGUGUUCCAAUCUAUAGAGUCACGUACAAAAGUCAGAUAAAGUAGGAAAGAAUUGAUCUAAAUCAAUGAGUUCAAUUUAGAAGUAUGUGACUUGAUUGAACAAAUAGAUUAGCUUAAUUAAAAAUUAAGUUAGAGAUUAUAUAGAAUUAAAGAGUUGCCUAUGUCUAGCUAGCAUUGGAUAUGAGGUAUAGAUUUAAUUUUUAAAAUGAUAAUGAUCUGAUCAAUGAUCCAAUAAAUUUAUGAG